rnacentral:rRNA from 1 species
UACGGAGGGGACUAGCGUUGUUCGGAAUUACUGGGCGUAAAGCGCACGUAGGCGGAUUUGUAAGUCAGGGGUGAAAUCCUGGAGCUCAACUCCAGAACUGCCUUCGAUACUGGCGACCUUGAGUCCGGGAGAGGUGAGUGGAACUCCGAGUGUAGAGGUGAAAUUCGUAGAUAUUCGGAAGAACACCAGUGGCGAAGGCGGCUCACUGGCCCGGUACUGACGCUGAGACGCGAAAGCGUGGGGAGCGAACAGG